rnacentral:tRNA from 1 species
AGAGGUGUGGCUCAGUGUUAGAGUGCCUGCCUAGCAAGCACGUGGCCCUGAGUUCAAAUCCCAGGACCUCCA